AGAAAAGAAGCACAGACAACCUCAGGCAAUGCUGUCCAACCCGUGGUGUGCUGGGUGGAGCUGGAGCGUGGCUCGGUUGAAGAGAAAAAAAAUCAGAUGAGCAGGGAUGAAAGGAAGAAAAGAGGGCCCCUCAAGAACUUGAACAAAGGAGUCAAGGCCAUGGUGGGGAAACCCACAGAAUCAGCUGACCCAAGCUGUUUCCUUUACCAGUAGGUGCAGGCAGCUGGGCAAUGGCAAGACAUGUUCACUUGAAGAUUUUGCCUUGAUUGAAGGUUUUGCCCACAAGCUGGAAGGCCCCCUCCCAGGAAAAGUGCUCUCCAACCAAGGUCUGGGUCUCCUCGCUACCAGGAUCCAGUUUCCGCCAUGUAUCUCACUCGUAGUCCACUUGCCAAUCUGGACUCAGAGGAAAGGCAAGCUCUUGGCCACGGAAGACCCAAACACCAGAAAUGGAGCUGCUGUUGUUGGUUCCAAAGAGGAUGACGCCAGCAAAGGCAUUCUUCCUCAGUUUGUCCAAUCGCUGGAAUGUCCCAGUUAUGAGGUUGCAACUCAUGAAGGUCUGGGUGAGCUCUUCAGGGAAGCGGUACUCAGCAUACCACAGGCCAUCCUUACCAAAGUGCUCCCAAAACAUGGCAGUGCCACAGACAGCGUGUCCUCAUUGGAGUACUUCCGCUUAAAUUCAUCCAAUGCGAAGGUACUCUUGGGCAGUGGCCUGUUUGUUGUGGCGCGUGAUGCCCACGGUAGGGAACACCCAGGUGCUGCCUGGAGGAAUGACGUCACUGUCAGCAAAGCUCACCCACUGCACUGCCUGAGCUGCUGCCUCUGGAGUACUUCCACACAGGUCCUCAUUGCUUACGUAAUAGGCGAUGGCAUUGCUCUCACACACAGAGAAUCCCUCAUCACCCUCAAAUGCUGGAACCUUGCCAGAAGGAAAUUUUCUGAGAAAUUCAGGGGUGCGGCCAGUUUGGCCAAAGUAGAAGUGGGGUGGUGUGGAGAGCACGCAGACCUGAGCCCCGCUGUACUGAGCAGCGAUGAGGGCCUUGAAGGCUCUCCAGUUUUCAGGAUAUGUAUGUAUACAGGGUCCCAGCCGCCAUGGUGAUUCUGAAGAGAAAGGGGGUCCCAUUUGUUAUUUUGAAGUAAGAGCCUGUAGUUCUGGUUAACUGGGGCUGAAGAAUCAGCUGUGAUUAACAAGAUACCAGAAAUACUAAAGCAAACCUUUUCUGUGCUGGGAUACCUGAUGCUGGUUGCUGGAGCUAAGAAAUUGGUGGUGAUUAAGAAGAGACCAGCUUGGCACAGUGAGAGGCCCCGAGAAGCCAUUGGCAAAGAUGCAGCCUCCAUGGCAGUUAAAGGCCCAGGACUGAAGGAGUCAUGCAGAGAAGUUGAGGCACCAUGAGGAGAGCCUAUGAGGGGCUAUUGGUGAAAGUGCAGCCCAGUUGCAACAACGGACCUUGGCAUUUUGGAGAUGCCAAUACAGUGGGAUGACCAUCAAGAGCAGCAGCAGCGGGGUGGAGCCAGCUGGAGCCUCAAGAGGAGCUGCCUGUGCUGACAAGGAUGGAGCCGAUGCCUCGCCCCAGAACAAGCGGCUUCUCUCUACCUUCGCCUACAAUUGCCUACCGAUUCCUCAACACCAAGCUCCUCUUGCCUAGUAUCUCCAUGCUGGAGGCUUGCUGAAUUGAACGGUGUUUGAUUUACCCACGGCGGGGCCAAGUGGACUGCACACAUCCUGAAGACAGAGCGUGUCCUGCUGGCAUCUGCUUUGCUUUCAAUAAAGAACAGCAAGAAGUAAGGUUCUUGUCUUUGG
rnacentral:lncRNA from 1 species